rnacentral:hammerhead_ribozyme from 1 species
AUCCAGCUGAUGAGUCCGAAAUAGGACGAAAUUCACGUCCUGUAA